AUUGAACGCUGGCGGCAUGCCUUACACAUACAAAAAAAACGAUAACAGGUCUUCGGACGCUGACGAGUGGCGAACGGGUGAGUAAUACAUCGGGACGUGCCCAGUCGUGGGGGAUAACUACUCGAAAGAGUAGCUAAUACCGCAUACGAUCUGAGGAUGAAAGCGGGGGACCUUCGGUCCUCGCGCGAUUGGAGCGGCCGAUGGCAGAUUAGGUGGUUGGUGGGAUAAAAGCUUACCAAGCCGACGAUCUGUAGCUGGUCUGAGAGGACGACCAGCCACACUGGGACUGAGACACGGCCCAGACUCCUACGGGAGGCAGCAGAGGGGAAUUUUGGACAAUGGGCGAAAGCCUGAUCCAGCAAUGCCGCGUGCAGGAUGAAGGCCUUCGGGUUGUAAACUGCUUUUGUACGGAACGAAAAAGCUCCUUCUAAUACAGGGGGCCCAUGACGGUACCGUAAGAAUAAGCACCGGCUAACUACGUGCCAGCAGCCGCAGUAA
rnacentral:rRNA from 1 species